rnacentral:rRNA from 1 species
UGUGAACUGCAGGACACAUGAACACCGACACGUUGAACGCAUAUGGCGCAUCGGACGUUUUACCCCGGCCGAUGUACACAUUCUUGAGUGCCUACCAAUUCCUUUAUACACAUACAUACAUAACUACAGGCGCGCUCGUAAAGUGACCGAUUAAAAAAAAAGCCCUCAGGCGAGGCAGCCCGCUUCGAAGGCUUGGGACACUGAACGCGUGUGCGCGCCACUGUGCAUCAUGGGCAUGCUUGGUACCGUCUCCUAACCGGAACCAUGGGUGCUGAAAAGUGAGGCAAUACGAACUGUAUCAGGGCGCGUGUCAAGUCGCACACGGGUCGAACUUCGGCUAUGGAUGACCUGAACACCCCGGCAGCCUACUAACACCAGGCUUGUCGCGCAGGUUUCAGGUGCUUACUACGCUUCAUCCAGCCGAGUCGCGUGUUGACCACGAUACCGCCAAUGCCCGCUUUCAUUGCAUGUAGGCCUCAAGUGAUGUGUGACAACCCCCUGAAUUUAAGCAUA